GCCGGGGUAGCCAAGUGGACGGGUUAAUGGUUCACCAUCACCCUUUAGAACGGCGCUGGCCUUGAGAGCCAGUGUACUAUUGUACUCGAGGGUUCGAAUUCCAGGGUGUUAUUAUCCUGAAAGAAAUUCCCUCCCCCGGCG
rnacentral:tRNA from 1 species